UCCUGAGACUGACACCACAACAACUCUGCAAACAACAAUUGUAAUUGACAGCAGGAUUUUUUCCUUAUGUGUUUAAAGAUACUGGUCCAUGAGAGGACUUUCCCUCUUAUCCCAUGACUGCUCACUUUGCUUAAGAGCCUUUGGUGUGGGACCUUAUCAGAGGCUUUCUGAAAGUCCAAGUACACUAUAUCCACUGAAUCACCCUUGUCUACAUGCUUGUUGACCCCCCUCAAGAAAUUCUAGUAGAUGAGUGAGGUGCAAAUGUUUCAACUCGGCCCCUAUCUACUCCAUCCCAGAGGCUGGUCCAGAUUAGAAGGCGGAAAAAAUGAAUUCGGGACGACAUGUUUGCCGAGCUCAUGCAGUCCUCCCACACUGAUAGGACCCAGCUGAAUGCAUGGAGGCAAACAAUUGCAGAGUUCCGUAAAGCAUUACAGGAACACAAAGACAGGAGGGAUGCACAUGCUGAGAGCAGGCAGGACACUAUGGUCAAGCUCAUAGGGGAGCAAACUGACAUGCUCCAGAUCUAAUGCGGGAAAGGCAGCAAGACCACAGACUGCUGCUGCAGCCCCUGUAUAACUGCCUUCCCUCCUCCCCAAGUUCCAUAGCCUCCUCACCCAGAGGCCCAAGAACACAAGGGGGGAGGCUACAGGGACCCACACUCUCAACCCCAGAGGAUCACCCAAGCAGCAGAAAGCUGGCAUAUGCAAACUUUUGAUUUGGUUUCUGGACUUGUCCUUCCUUCCUCCUCCAUCCCCCCCCCCCCCCAUAAUCCAAUACCCCUCCUCCCCCAGUCUACCUUCAGAUUUCUCUUAA